AGUCUCGACAGUCGUGAGCGACAGUCGAGAAGAUGGUGAAUAGUAUAAUUAUAGACAGAUGCAAGUUGAUAGGACAGGGCUGUUACGGGAUAGUUUCGAAGGGACAUGGAAGGGCACGUGGAAGGACAAAAAAGUGGCCGUCAAGCGAAUCCAAAUCGAAAACGUUGAAAAUAACCUAGGAGAAGAGGCUCUGCAAAAACUUGAUCAUCCGAAUGUCGUCAAACUUUAUCACGUUGAAAGCACCAGUGAUUUCAGAAUUUAUGCGCUAAAACUUUGCCAAUUAUCACUGAGUCAACUAUUCCACGGCAACGAGGACCAGAAAAAAUAUGGCGAGAAAAUGCCGCCAGAAAAAGAAGUUUGCCUCCAGUUGGCCAUGGGAUUGGCACACAUUCACGAAAAAGGAUUCAUUUACUGGGAUUUCAAACCCCAAAAUGUCUUAAUUCAUCCGACUGGAGGGAAAGUCUUGAUGAAAUGGGCCGAUUUCGGACUCAGUAAACCACAAAACGACAGGGGAAGUAUCUCGACGACAGAGCACAACAAACGGCCCGAUGAUUGGUUUGCCCCUGAAAUAUUGAUAAUAAAAAACAAUAUGGAUCGAACGACGCCCAUACGUCAAGAAGGAACCGUCAUGAGCGACGUCUUUUCCACAGGUCUCAUUUUCGGCUAUUAUCUUUUGAAAGGGCGUCACCCAUACGGCUUCAACUUCAAUAUCCCAACCAACAUUAUCAAGAAUACGCCAGACAAUCUGACAGCCAUAGAAGAGCAACAACCCAUGCGGGCUAUCAUCAUGGACAUGUUGAAGAACAAUCCCAACGAGAGGAUUUCAUCGGCCGACGUCGUAACAAGAAUCGCCAACAUUAAAUAAGAAAAAACAAUCGACACACUAAAAGUGAUCUUUUACUCGCUUUUACUAGCAUAUUUUCUUUCUUUCCCCUACGGAUUGUGCAUGAUGACGAAAGAGUGGUCCGUGUGCUGGACAACUGGACUGCAAGAAGGGGAACCCAAUCUCGCCUAGCCUAGCGUCACGACCGGCUGUCAGACGAUGCUGUUUUUUUGGUCUUUUUGUUUUCUCUCUCUCUCUCUACGUUUCCUCUUACUCGUCGUAGCCUUGCAGUUAAAAUAAACAACGGCGAUUGCACGUCUCA